ACCCAGCUGACGAGUCCGAAAUAGGACGAAACACGCGUCCUAGAU
rnacentral:hammerhead_ribozyme from 1 species